rnacentral:rRNA from 1 species
AAUGAACGUUGGCGGCGUGGAUUAGGCAUGCAAGUCGAACGAGAUCUGUAGCAAUACAGUGAAAGUGGCGAAAGGGAGAGUAAUACGUAGGUACCUGCCCUCGGGUCUGGGAUAGCUGCGGGAAACUGCAAUUAAUACCGGAUGACGUCUCUGGACCAAAGGUGUGAUUCCGCCAGGGGAUGGGCCUGCGUCCUAUCAGCUAGUUGGUGUGGUAAUGGCGCACCAAGGCUAAGACGGGUACGGGGUGUGAGAGCAUGCCCCCGCUCACUGGGACUGAGAUACUGCCCAGACACCUACGGGUGGCUGCAGUCGAGAAUCUUCCGCAAUGGGCGCAAGCCUGACGGAGCGACGCCGCGUGUGGGAUGAAGGCCUUCGGGUUGUAAACCACUGUCAGUGGGGAGCAAAUGCAUCAGGGUUCUCCCUGGUGUUUGAGCGAUCCGCAGAGGAAGCACAGGCUAAUUCCGUGCCAGCAGCCGCGGUAACAC